CCUCGCCCCUUGCUCUACGGAUCCAAGACUUUCUUUUGUAGCUGACUCAAUCUCUAUGGAAUUAGUUGACUUAGUUACCUGGGGAUGUAAUGGACAUCUAAUUUACCACCUUACUGAACAGCUGCCCUUGCCCACCCCCACUAAAGCUUGAAUUAUGUGUUAUGGCCUUAUCCAACCCUAGCAACUUUCCUAGAGCUUAACGAGCACUUAAACUAGAGCACUUCAACAAAACUUUCAUAACUGACCUCGAAACUAGCAAUUGCGGAAUUGACCUCUAAACUGGGAAGUGUUUGGAAGUAUUUAAUAGCUCCCGAGACUUAUUAUAUAGGCCCGAUCUCUAGUGUUAACGCCUACCUCGACUACUGAUCAAGAAGCUCUUUCCUCUUUACCACAACUUUAAUAACAAGUAUGAAUUCUUUCCUAAACUAGUUUACUUAUCGCAACUCCGACAAGAGAUAGAAUCAGCAGUGCCACUUAUAUAUCUGCGGGUAGAAGACCUUUAUUUGUAUUAUAUAUAAGUACUUAUUUAAGUCCUUUCUUCAGGAGUCCUGUAUCCUGGGUUUGUUCCUUUACGGACACCGAGUCAACAACUCCCUUAUCGCUUGCUGCUUACUUACUUGAUACUGCUGAUGAUCUAGAUCUUGAAACUCAAUCUCUGAAUCGAUAACACCGUAAACUCUCUUCCUAGAAAGAACCAGACCACUCACAAUCAGGUCUUCAUGAAAGGAAUGAAACUAUAAUACAGAAUAAUGAAACUAAAGGGAUGUCAUCUAGGGCAUUAAGAGAUAGAGUCACAAAGGGAUGUCAUCUAGGGCAUAAAGAGAUAGAGUCACAAACCUAGCAAUCUCCACUCUGAAGUAGGAAUUUGACUAUGAAUUCAGAAUUGACCUCCUCCGCUCAUAAGCUUGAUCAGGCGCAUACUCAGUUGAAAGAGAAGAAGUUGCCCUUAAGUUAAUGGCGAGAGUAAAUAGGGAAGCCCAACACGAAUCCCACUAUUAAAGAAUUAGUUGUAGCUGUAUAAGAAUUAGGAUAAGCAGGAGCGGGAGCAGAAUGGAACCUCUUUCUUGCCCACCUAGUAGCUUCUUAGACUCCAUUCUCUUUUAUAGGGUAUGCCAUGUGCUAAGGGAGUGGAAUGUGCCGUCGAUUCUGGUGUCAGUACAAGCAGCAAUAGCCACGAGGUUAAUGUACCCUACGAAAGACGAAUUCAAGCACCUUAGCUAACUGUAAACCCAAAGGCAAUUAAAUAGUAUUGUUACUAAAGGGAACGCCUAAUAGAAGGAGCCGGUGCCAAGUAUAAGAAAGAGGAUAAGAGAAAACUGCUGGUACUAGUGGAUUUGCAAGCAUGUAGCAGAAAAACCAACCCUUUCUUUCAUAGUUGGUCAGCGAAUGCUGAGUACACGGGUACACCGAUCUCCUGGAAAUGCUAUCACUUUGGAAAUCGCAACUAUCAGCCUGAAACGCUGUAAAAGAAGACUCAAAGUUGCAAUAAGAGAUCCAACUCGAAACAAGGGCAGCUGACGAUGGCUACUACUUGUUGGAAUUGAACUCGGCAUCCAGAUCCUUACUUGCCCCGGUUUCACUCUUUGACUACUGCCCGAGAGGCUUACUUACUCCAAUAGGGAUAUCAAAUCAGAAUAGUAGAAUACAAUCACUGCUAACAAUACUGAAACUCGGAACUUAGACUUAAUACUUGCCCAAACAACCCGAAACCAUACUCCUCGCUCUUACUACCCUUGUUUGAAUUCAGAUAUUUACUUGUUUCAUUUACUUACCCCGGCUCUAACUCUUAGAUAUGAUGAGCUAUAAGACUAAUAUCAUAGGGUAUGUGCCUAAGAAUAUCUGUAGACUGAACUAGUGCUUAGCAAGACUUCACCUCUAGCAGAAGACAGAAUUGAACUAAUGUAAACCAAGAAUUGACUAAUGCCUAAUCAGACUGAAACAAGUCACGAAGUAUACUGGUCUAGAACUACUGGCCCAACACUAGUAUGACAGCACUUUCUCGUAGCUUGCCCCACUGGUGAGUCUGCAUAUACUGCCCUAAAACCGGACUCGUUAUCCCAUGUCUUUUCAUUUGAUGAACCCUAUAGUUGACUUACCGCG
rnacentral:lncRNA from 1 species